rnacentral:rRNA from 1 species
GGGUUCAGAACGUCGUGAGACAGUUCGGUCCCUAUCCGUCGCGGGCGCAGGAAAUUUGAGAGGAGCUGUCCUUAGUACGAGAGGACCGGGAUGGACGCACCGCUGGUGUACCAGUUGUUCUGCCAAGGGCAUCGCUGGGUAGCUAUGUGCGGACGGGAUAAGUGCUGAAAGCAUCUAAGCAUGAAGCCCCCCUCAAGAUGAGAUUUCCCAUUCCGCAAGGAAGUAAGAUCCCUGAAAGAUGAUCAGGUUGAUAGGUCUGAGGUGGAAGUGUGGCGACACAUGGAGCUGACAGAUACUAAU